UAGUUAAUAUUAAAAGUAAGUUCUGCCCAAUGAUUUAUUAUUAAAUGGCUGCAGUAUAUUGACUGUGCAAAGGUAGCAUAAUAACUAGUCUUUUAAUUGAAGGCUUGUAUGAAUGAAUACAUGAGAAGUUUAUUUUAUUAUUUUAAGGAUUAAAAUUUAAUUUUUAAGUUAAAAAGCUUAAUUGUUUUUUUGGGACGAGAAGACCCUAUAGAAUUUAAGUUUUUUUUUAUUAAUUAAUUUUUAGUUUAUUUUAAUUUUAUUAUUUUUAAAAAAUUUUUUGUUGGGGUGAUAAAUAAAUUUAACUUUAUUUUUUUUAUUCAUUUUUUAUGUUAGUUUGAUCCAUAUUUUAUAUGAUUAUAAGAUUAAAUUACCUUAGGGAUAACAGCGUAAUUUUUAUGGAGAGUUCAUAUUUAUAUAAAAGUUUGCGACCUCGAUGUUGAAUUAAGAUAAUUUUUUGGGGCAG
rnacentral:rRNA from 1 species